rnacentral:rRNA from 1 species
GAUGAACGCUGGCGGCGUGCUUAACACAUGCAAGUCGAACGGAAAGGCCCAAGCUUGCUUGGGUACUCGAGUGGCGAACGGGUGAGUAACACGUGGGUGAUCUGCCCUGCACUUCGGGAUAAGCCUGGGAAACUGGGUCUAAUACUGGAUAGGACCACUUCUUGGAUGUUGUGGUGGAAAGUUUUUUCGGUGUGGGAUGAGCUCGCGGCCUAUCAGCUUGUUGGUGGGGUAAUGGCCUACCAAGGCGUCGACGGGUAGCCGGCCUGAGAGGGUGUACGGCCACAUUGGGACUGAGAGACGGCCCAGACUCCUACGGGAGGCAGCAGUGGGGAAUAUUGCACAAUGGGCGCAAGCCUGAUGCAGCGACGCCGCGGGGGGGAUGACGGCCUUCGGGUUGUAAACUCCUUUCGCUAGGGACGAAGCGUUUUGUGACGGUACCUGGAGAAGAAGCACCGGCUAACUACGUG